UGACGCUGCAACAGGAUUCUUC
rnacentral:sRNA from 1 species